UACGGGGGGAGCAAGCGUUGUUCGGAUUUACUGGGCGUAAAGGGCGCGUAGGCGGCCACUGCAAGUCGGUUGUGAAAUCUCCGGGCUUAACCCGGAAAGGUCAACUGAUACUGUGCGACUAGAGUGCGGAAGGGGCAACUGGAAUUCUCGGUGUAGCGGUGAAAUGCGUAGAUAUCGAGAGGAACACCUGCGGCGAAGGCGGGUUGCUGGGCCGACACUGACGCUGAUGCGCGAAAGCGUGGGGAGCAAACGGG
rnacentral:rRNA from 1 species